rnacentral:rRNA from 1 species
AGGGUUUGAUUCUGGCUCAGGACGAACGCUGGCGGCGCGCCUAACACAUGCAAGUCGAACGAGAGAGAGGGAGCUUGCUUCCUUGAUCGAGUGGCGAACGGGUGAGUAACGCGUGAGGAACCUGCCUCAAAGAGGGGGACAACAGUUGGAAACGACUGCUAAUACCGCAUAAGCCCACGACCCGGCAUCGGGAAGAGGGAAAAGGAGCAAUCCGCUUUGAGAUGGCCUCGCGUCCGAUUAGCUAGUUGGUGAGGUAACGGCCCACCAAGGCGACGAUCGGUAGCCGGACUGAGAGGUUGAACGGCCACAUUGGGACUGAGACACGGCCCAG